AAGGGCUUCCUAGAGGUGGAGCCUGUGGGUAGAAGGCAAAGAGCACAGGUUGAGCAGGGGAGGCCAGUGCUGUGUCCCCUCCACUCUUUUGGCUCCCUAAUGGCCUUCAAGCGUGGUUACCCUCCUCUGGCUGGUGACUCCUCCGUUUUCUCUCUGGGCGGGGAGGGUGUUGGAUCUGGACCUCUUUCUUUCUCCGAUGUCUCCUCCUACCAGAGGCAGCUCAUCUGAGUUCUCAAGCCUUUGCCCUGGGCUUUGAAACUGACAACCAGCUCCCAGUGAGUGACCUGUGGAGCUGCAGACAUGUGGAGAUCCAAGUUGUCUCCCCACUUCCUGUAGUUCUCUAGCUAAGGCAAGCAGGUCUCUACCAUUGAUGGAUCUCACAGGUACCAGGCACGACUCUCGGUCCCUCGACCCACUGGAAAAGGUUGUGCAUGGGUUCAGGGUCUGCCCCAAACUGCCCAGUUGAGCAACCCCCCCCCCCCACACACACACACAUCUAGCCCUUUCUCUGUCCAAGGACAGGGGAGGAGCCCAGGUUGUGUGGACUUUCUUUUCUUUUUUUUUUUGUUUUUUUUUUUGUUUUUUGUUUUUUGUUUUUUGAGACAGGGUUUUUCUCUGUAUAGCCCUGGCUGUCCUGGAACUCACUCUGUAGAACAGGCUGGCCUCGAACUCAGAAAUCUGCCUGCCUCCGCCUCUCAAGUGCUGGGAUUAAAGGCUUGCGCCACCACGCCCGUCUGUGUGGACUUUCUAAGAAAAAAAAAAGUGAGCAGACACUGUAGGGAUCAGAUGACCAACACAACCACUUCUCAGCCGUGAGCUCCAUCAUGGACACUGUGACCACCACAGCUGCUACCACAUCCUCACCAUUAUCAUCCCCACCAUUGCCACAUCUCCAAGCAUCACCCAUCAGCCCAUGACCACGGGCAGGACCCCACUUUACCUCUCCAUUUUGACCCCUACACAAACAUCCCCAGUUUCACCCCACCCUGAUCUCCAUACUGCCAACUCCAGCAAUGUCACCACUGUCAUCCCUACCAUUGCUCCACUGUCCAUAUCAGUGUUGCCAAUGUCACCAUCCACACACACACACCUCUCCACC
rnacentral:lncRNA from 1 species